rnacentral:rRNA from 1 species
AGCGAACGCUGGCGGCAGGCCUAACACAUGCAAGUCGAACGGAUCCUUCGGGAUUAGUGGCGGACGGGUGAGUAACACGUGGGAACGUGCCCUUUGGUUCGGAACAACUCAGGGAAACUUGAGCUAAUACCGGAUGUGCCCUUCGGGGGAAAGAUUUAUCGCCAUUGGAGCGGCCCGCGUCUGAUUAGCUAGUUGGUGAGGUAACGGCCCACCACGGCGACGAUCAGUAGCUGGUCUGAGAGGAUGAUCAGCCACACUGGGACUGAGACACGGCCCAGACUCCUACGGGAAGCAGCAGUGGGGAAUCUUGCGCAAUGGGCGAAAGCCUGACGCAGCCAUGCCGCGUGAAUGAUGAAGGUCUUAGGAUUGUAAAAUUCUUUCAGCGGGGACGAUAAUGACGGUACCCGCAGAAGAAGCGCCGGCUAACUUCGUG